GAAGAAUUUAUGCUGUUAUACGUUCAGCUCAACAACACACCAGCAAUUUGUGUUCAUUUACAGCAACAGUAAUCAUUUAAAUUAUUUGAGAUGGGACCAGGCAGAGUUUUCAGUUGCUUUGCUCUAGCAAUGUUCAUGCAAUAUUCCUGCAGUCAGACUCUUAUCGAGUCUGAUUCAGUGAUCAUCAAACCUGAUCAGUCUCAUAAACUGACCUGCACAGCUUCUGGAUUGGACAUUAGUAGCUAUUACAUGGCUUGGAUCAGACAGGCGCCUGGAAAAGGGCUGGAAUUUGUUGCAACUAACCACGGCAGUAACAAGUAUUACUCCAGUGCAGUUAAUGGCCGCUUCACCAUCUCCAGAGAUGACAGUAAGAAGCAGGUAUAUCUGCACAUGACCAGCGUGAGGACAGAAGACACUGCAGUGUAUUACUGCGCCCGUGACCCACAGUGAUACUUCUCCCUAGACAUCAGUACAAAAACACAUGCUUGCUUUAGUCACAUGACAAGCUCAAAUUUUCAUAAGCAGUGUAUUCAUGGAGGUAAAAGAACCAAAACGUUUUGAUGUUUACUGCACGUGGUUUGUUGUGAAUGUUGUCUGGACUUUUAUGCUAGUGUAAGAUUACUUAAGUCAUGUCUGUAUAUAUAUAUAUAUAUACACACACACACAACAGUGUAAUACACAUUACGUUGACAAAAUCUAAAAUUGAAUUCUUUAACUUAACUAAAUGUUUCAGAGAGUGUGUGUAAUGAGCUCCAGCCAGUAUAAAAGUUCCCAACUUGAACACAGCAAUAUUUCACAGUGUUGUGAGAACUAUGGAAACAGUUGUUCACAGAGAGAGUAAACAGAACUCAAUGCCAUAAAACUUUCAGUUUUUGUUCUAUAAAAUAAAAUAUAAUUAUCUAGAUGCAAUGUGUAUAGGCUGAUAAUGACAAAGGACUCGUUCUUAUUAAUAUGCUUUAGGGCAGCAUGGUGGUACAGAGGGUAACAUUGCAGGAUCAAUUGUUUAAUUUUCUACAAAUAAACCUCUGCUUAAA